rnacentral:rRNA from 1 species
GACGAACGCUGGCGGCGUGCUUAACACAUGCAAGUCGAACGGAAAGGCCCUGCUUUUGUGGGGUGCUCGAGUGGCGAACGGGUGAGUAACACGUGAGUAACCUGCCCUUGACUUUGGGAUAACUUCAGGAAACUGGGGCUAAUACCGGAUAGGAGCUCCUGCUGCAUGGUGGGGGUUGUAAAGUUUCGGGGGUUGGGGAUUGACGCGCGGGUUAUCAGGUUUUUGGGUGGGUAGUGGCUUUCCAAGGCUUUGACGGGUAGCCGGCCUGGGAGGGUGGCCGGCCACAUUGGGGCUGGGGAAGCGGCCAGAAUCCUUCGGGGGGCAACAGGUGGGGAUUAUGCCAAAAGGGCCGGAGGCUUGAGGCAGCAAGGCGGGUGGGGGAAGGCCGGCGUUGGGGUUGAAAACGGUUUUGGCUGGGAAGGAGGGGGGGGGGAGGUAAAUGGUAAAAGAGCCACGGGUAACUACGUG